CCUUGGCUUGCUGUCAUGGUGUCUUUAAAACUGGGCCGUUACCCAUUGCAGAGCAGGGGGAGGGACCAUACCAAGUCCAUGUGAUUAUUACUCCACAUUGUGGAGUGUCCAUACCGUGUCCAUAUGAUUAUUAUCCCACAUUGUGGAGUGUCCAUACCGUGUCCAUGUGAUUAUUACUCCACAUUGUGGAGUGACCAUACCGUGUUUAUAUGAUUAUUACUCCACAUUGUGGAGUGUCCAUACCAUGUCUAUAUGAUUAUUACUCCACAUUGUGGAGUGUCCAUACCGUGUCCAUGUGAUUAUUACUCCACAUUGUGGAGGGUCCAUACUGUGUCCAUGUGAUUAUUGAUUAUUACUCCACAUUGUGGAGGGUCCAUACUGUGUCCAUGUGAUUAUUGAUUAUUACUCCACAUUGUGGAGUGACCAUACCGUGUCUAUAUGAUUAUUACUCCACAUUGUGGAGUGUCCAUACCAUGUCUAUAUGAUUAUUACUCCGCAUUGUGGAGUGUCCAUACCAUGUCUAUUACUCCACAUUGUAGAGUGUCCAUACCAUGUCUAUAUUAUUAUUACUCCACAUUGUGGAGUGACCAUACCGUGUCCAUGUGAUUAUUACUCCACAUUGUGGAAUGUCUAUACUGUGUCCAUAUGAUUAUUACUCCACAUUGUGGAGUGACCAUGUUAUGUCCAUAUUAUUAUUAUUACUCUAUAUUGUGAAGUGUCCAUAUUAUGUCCAUAUUGUUAUUACUCCAUAUUAUGGAGUGUCCAUAUUAUGGCUUCAUAAUCAAAUAUCCAGAUUGGUGCCAAAGGUUUUAAUUUAUUUGCAUAUUUUGGAGGAAAAAAUCUGCCCCUUUAAUCAAAUCUAUUCAUUCCAAUGGUAAAUAAGUAAGCAGAAAUUGGAAAUUAGGUAAAUUUCUAUGCAAUACUAUUACCCACUGGCUGUGUAGUAGUGUGUGUUUGUUGUAUAUAGGUGUAGUUAGGCUGAAAAUGGGAGUGAGGAAUCCAGUAGAGGGCUGAUCUGUCUUUGAAGCCUGUAGCUUAAAUCUCCAGUGUACUAGAUCUUUAGUUAGCAGCUUCUAGAAAGAUACUCAGAGUCAGGUCCUGUGUCAUAUGUAGCUGUUGAGUUCAUUUCUCCACCGAAAUAUAUUACCAAGCUUCUGUUCCUGGGUUUAGAUGAGAUGCAUUAGAAAGUAUCAGGAUUGGUUUAAUACUUUUAUAUGCUGUAGGAGAGUCUAGUACUUAAAGAAAUUCCAUGGCCAAUCCAGCCAGGCAUGCUUUUUCAUACCUAUAAUCCCAGUACUCAAGAGGCUGCUGAGGCAGGAGGAUCAUGAGCUUGCCUUGGCAACAUAGUGAGACCUUGUCUCCAAAAGAAAAAAAGAAAAAGAAAAAGCACCAUAGAAGAAAAAUUCUGUGAUCUACUUUGUGAAUCAAAUGGUCACUGUCCUGAUUGGCUAGAAAAUGGAUUUUUAUGUUAUAAAAUAAGGUUUUAAGUACACUGUUACUGAAUUUUAGCCAACCUUUCUUUAACAACUGUUGUAAGGCAAAACUGGUGAGAACAUGUGGUAAAUUGUUUGCACCUAGAAGGAGUUUAUUCCCCAGCUUGACUUUCCUGUCAAUCUAGAGAGACACUGUUAGAGAUGCUGCUGAGUCAAAAAUGUGCUGGUCUUGUUUUCCUGAUGGUGCUGCACUUGUAUCCUUGUUCAGAUGGUGAGAGGCAUGGCCACAAAAUGUAUUCUUCACAUUUAGGAGCCAGUAGUUAGCUAGAAAAUUUUGACUCUCCUUUUUAAAAUUUUAACAUUUGUUUUUUGAGAUAAGGUUUCUCUCUGUAGCCCUGGCUGGUCUGGAAUUGACCAAGCUGGCUUUGAACCUAGAGAUCCACCUCUGCCUCCCCAGUGCUGGGAUUAAAGGCGUGCACUACCAAGCCUGGCAUGACUCUUUGGUUUGUCUGUGUAUUAGGAAAUACAAUGAAGGUAACAAACACUGCUGUUUAUUAUAAGGUUGUCACACUUAGCGUUUACUGUUGGUGCUUUGUCAAAGGUUUAUGGAGUACUUACAGUGGAAGCCCCCAUUCCUCCUCCUCUUUCCACCUGUACCAAGCUUUCUUUUGGGGGCCACCAACCAGUCCCAGAUCAUGACUGUGGCUCAGAGGUGAACGUCAUACCAUAGUAAGUUAUAGAGCCAGGAGUCAAGUCCAGGCAGUCAGCCAGAUGUGGUGCCCCACAUCUAUAACUCUGGUGUUCAGGAGGCAGAGCUGGGAAGUUCAAAGCUAUUCUGGAAUGCAGAAGAAACUCUGUCUCAAGAAACCAACAAAAGAAAAUAAAAGGAAAAAAUUUUAAAGGAAAAAAUUUAAAAGCUAGGUGUGGUAUGUUGGACCUUUAUUUCCAGCACUUAGGAGUAGAGGAAGAGAAUCAGUUAAAAACCUUCCUUUGCCAAUAGUGAGUAUCAGGCUAGCCUGGGCUACAUGAGACCCUUUCCUAACAACACCCAAAAUAGGCCAUGUGUUCUCAAGGCCUUUCUUUCCCCCCACUGAGGUGCGAGCUCACCACCAGGUGCCCAGUUUGCUUCCAGUUGUCCUCAUCAGGAGAUUAGCACAAACAUCAUCAGUCAUUUGGGACCUCUUGUAGGAUCUGGAUGAAAUAAGAUGGAACAGAAGAGACCAUAAUCAGGCCAGUAUGAAAAACAACUUAAGCAUUCUUUUAUGCAGCUUUCCUUCCACAUAUAUUUGGACUGGCCUUUGCUUUUUCUGGAAUGACAACAAAAGAUUUUUUUUUUCUGUUCUAUAAACCAGCCCCCAAAUUGGAACCAGAUGUCUUGACUUCCACUUGCUAAAAAGCACUUCCUCUUAUUAAAGAAAACAGUAGCACCAGGCAUGGUGCUGCUAGUCUGUAAUUCCAUAACUGACAGUGGGAAGAAGGGUGGUAUCACGAGGUUCAGGGAUUCAAGGUUGUUCUUGGUUCCAAACCUGUCUGGGUUCUUGGACUUCUCAAAAAAAAAAAAAAAAAAAAAAAAAAAAAAAAAAAAGAAUAAAAAAGAAUAUACAGCAAACCAAUAGUGCUUAAAACAGUGGGAAA